UAGCUUAGUUGGUAGAGCAUGAGACUCUUGUAAUCUCAUGUUGUGGGUUCGAGUCCUGUUGGGCAAAA